GCGAAGUUUAGGGUUUUCGAGGGGAAUUGAGAACUAUUUCUUUACGGCGGAAGGCGCAUGCGCGGAUUGUCCUCACAGCCAUCUUGCCGUUGCCAUCAGCCAGUGGUCGUGCGACAGUUCCAGACAACGGGAACCACCUUGCGUUUCGAAUUCAGAUCGUUUUUAGUGAAUUAGUUAGUGACAGUAGCUAUUAUCGCGGGUAAAAUAUGACGACCCAAGUGCAACAGGGCAGCCUCCUGGACGUGCUCAAGAAGAAAAUGCGACAGACCAAAGAAGAAAUGGAAAAAUACAAGGAUGAAUGUGAGGAAUACCACAAGCGGCUUCAGCUUGAACUGAUGCGUCGGGAAGCAGCCGAAUCCGAAGUCGCCGCUCUUAACCGUCGCAUCCAGCUUUUGGAGGAAGAUUUGGAGAGGUCAGAGGAACGUCUUGCAACUGCCACCGCCAAGUUGGCCGAGGCAUCUCAAGCAGCCGAUGAAAGCGAGCGCGCCCGCAAAGUUCUUGAGAACCGCAGUUUGGCCGAUGAGGAGCGUAUGGACGCCCUUGAAAAUCAACUGAAGGAAGCGAGAUUCUUAGCUGAAGAAGCUGACAAGAAAUACGAUGAGGUCGCCCGUAAAUUGGCCAUGGUUGAGGCCGAUCUUGAGCGUGCUGAGGAACGUGCCGAAGCUGGAGAGUCGAAGAUCGUCGAGUUGGAGGAGGAACUUCGCGUCGUUGGCAACAACUUGAAGUCCCUUGAAGUCUCUGAGGAGAAGGCAAACCAACGCGAGGAGGAGUACAAAAACCAGAUUAAGACCCUGACCACCCGUCUAAAGGAGGCUGAGGCUCGUGCUGAGUUCGCCGAGAGGUCCGUGCAAAAGUUGCAGAAGGAGGUCGACAGGCUCGAGGACGAAAUGGUGGUGGAGAAGGAGAAAUACAAAGAGAUCGGCGACGGGCUGGACUUGGCGUUCGAAGAGCUCUACGGAGUUUAGGGUCGCCGCUGGUUGCCUAAAUAACGCUUCUGAAUCUUUUUUUUUUUUUUUUUCAAGUUUCGCUUGCUUACUCACAUUUUGCACGAACUCGUCCACGAGAAGGAGAAG
rnacentral:misc_RNA from 1 species